rnacentral:rRNA from 1 species
GACGAACGCUGGCGGCGUGCUUAACACAUGCAAGUCGAGCGGAAAGGCCACUUCGGUGGUACUCGAGCGGCGAACGGGUGAGUAACACGUGAGUAAUCUGCCCCUGGCUUUGGGAUAGCCACCGGAAACGGUGAUUAAUACCGGAUAUGACCACUUCUCGCAUGGGUUGUGGUGGAAAGUUUUUCGGCCAGGGAUGUGCUCGCGGCCUAUCAGCUUGAUGGUGAGGUAAUGGCUCACCAUGGCUUCGACGGGUAGCCGGCCUGAGAGGGUGACCGGUCACACUGGGACAGAAACACGGCCCAGACUCCUACGGGAGGCAGCAGUGGGGAAUAUUGGACAAUGGGCGGAAGCCUGAUCCAGCAACGCCGCGUGAGGGAUGACGGCCUUCGGGUUGUAAACCUCUUUCAGUACCGACGAAGCGCAAGUGACGGUAGGUACAGAAGAAGCACCGGCCAACUACGUGCCAGCCGCCGCUGUAAUAC